rnacentral:rRNA from 1 species
UACGGAGGGGGCUAGCGUUGUUCGGAAUUACUGGGCGUAAAGCGCGCGUAGGCGGACCUGCAAGUCGGGGGUGAAAGCCCGAGGCUCAACCUCGGAACUGCCUUCGAUACUGCGGGUCUCGAGUCCGGGAGAGGUGAGUGGAAUUCCUAGUGUAGAGGUGAAAUGCGUAGAUAUCGGGAGGAACACCUGUGGCGAAAGCGGCGCACUGGACCACAUCUGACGCUGAGGCGCGAAAGCUAGGGGAGCAAACAGG